rnacentral:rRNA from 1 species
UACGGAGGGGGCUAGCGUUGUUCGGAAUUACUGGGCGUAAAGCGCACGUAGGCGGCUUUGUAAGUUAGAGGUGAAAGCCCAGGGCUUAACCCUGGAAUUGCCUUUAAGACUGCAUCGCUAGAACCGUGGAGAGGUGAGUGGAAUUCCGAGUGUAGAGGUGAAAUUCGUAGAUAUCAGGAGGAACACUUGUGGCGAAAGCGGCUCACUGGACCACAACUGACGCUGAGGCGCGAAAGCUAGGGGAGCAAACAGG